rnacentral:rRNA from 1 species
UACGGGGGGAGCAAGCGUUGUUCGGAUUUACUGGGCGUAAAGGGCGCGUAGGCGGCGCAACAAGUCACUUGUGAAAUCUCCGGGCUUAACCCGGAGCGGUCAAGUGAUACUGUCGUGCUAGAGUGCGGAAGGGGCUACUGGAAUUCUCGGUGUAGCGGUGAAAUGCGUAGAUAUCGAGAGGAACACCUGCGGCGAAGGCGGGUAGCUGGGCCGACACUGACGCUGGAUGCGGCGAAAGCCAGGGGAGCGAACGGG